GACGAACGCUGGCGGCGUGCCUAAUACAUGCAAGUCGAACGCAGUGGGGACGGGUGAGUAACACGUGGGUAACCUCCCCUCAGCGGGGCUAACACUUGGCAACAGGUGCUAAACCGCUACUGAUGUAUGGACCCGCGGUGCAUUAGCUAUGUGGUUAGGUAACGGCUCACCAAGGCCACGAUGCAUAGCCGACCGGAGAGGGUGAUGGGCAAAACUGGGACUGAGACACGGCCCAGACUCCUACGGGAGGCAGCAGUAGGGAAUCUUCGGCAAUGGACGAAAGUCUGACCGAGCAACGCCGCGGGAGUGAAGAAGGUUUUCGGAUCGUAAAACUCUGUUGUUAGAGAAGCGGUAUCUAACCAGAAAGCCACGGCUAACUACGUGCCAGCCGCCGCGGUAAUAC
rnacentral:rRNA from 1 species